ACCAUAUAACACCCAAGCAAUCUGCCCAGAGCAGAUGCGGUGGUGAAGCGACACAGCCGAAAAUUCGCCAGAUACGCACAAACAUCACAUACCUGAAUUCGCUGCAACGCCUAGGCGCGGCAGCUACCGAAUUUCUUGACGACCAUAGAGCGUUGGAACCACCUGAUCCCAUCCCGAACUCAGUAGUGAAACGACGCAUCGCCGAUGGUAGUGUGGGGUUUCCCCAUGUGAGAGUAGGUCAUCGUCAAGA
rnacentral:rRNA from 1 species